AACAAUGAUCGAGUGCACAUGAGUCUGCAAGUUAAAGUAUGAAUAGAUCUAAACUAAGAUUAAACUAAUUCAUUGCUAGGGGGAGGAAGAAGAUGAGAAAAAAAAUAAAAAAAAAAAGAACUAAUUCAUUGUUAGUGACAUUUUGUUCAUAUUAUCAAGUAUGAUAUAAUACGUUCAAACUAAUCAAACCAUGACUAAAUAUUUCCAAAUGAUAGUCCAGUCAAACAAGAAAGCAAAAUCCACAACGAGUCCGGUUACCACAAUAUAUUUUUGAAUACACAGCAAAAGG
rnacentral:lncRNA from 1 species